rnacentral:rRNA from 1 species
AGUGAACGCUGGCGGUAGGCCUAACACAUGCAAGUCGAACGGCAGCACAGUAAGAGCUUGCUCUUACGGGUGGCGAGUGGCGGACGGGUGAGGAAUACAUCGGAAUCUACUUUUUCGUGGGGGAUAACGUAGGGAAACUUACGCUAAUACCGCAUACGACCUACGGGUGAAAGCAGGGGAUCUUCGGACCUUGCGCGAUUGAAUGAGCCGAUGUCGGAUUAGCUAGUUGGCGGGGUAAAGGCCCACCAAGGCGACGAUCCGUAGCCGGUCUGAGAGGAUGAGCAGCAGCACUGGAACAGAGACACGGUCCAGCCCCCUACGGGAGGAGGCAGUGGGGGAUAUUGGACAAUGGGGGCAAGCCUGAUCCAGCUAUACCGCGGAGGUGAAGAAGGCCUUCGGGUUGUAAAGCCCUUUUGUUGGGAAAGAAAAGCAGCAGGUUAAUACCCCGCUGUUCUGACGGUACCCAAAGAAUAAGCACCGGCUAACUUCGUG